GAUUCCCCUAGUAACUGCGAGUGAAGAGGGAAGAGCUCAAAUUUAAAAUCUGGCGGUCUCUGGCUGUCCGAGUUGUAAAUUAGAGAAGUGUUAUCCGCUCAAGCCUGUGCAAAAGUCUCUUGGAAAAGGGCAUCAUAGAGGGUGACAAUCCCGUCUUUGGCACAGAUCACUUGCGCUUUUGUGAUGCGCUCUCGAUGAGUCGAGUUGUUUGGGAAUGCAGCUCUAAAUGGGUGGUAAAUUCCAUCUAAAGCUAAAUAUGGGCGAGAAACCGAUAGCGAACAAGUACCGUGAGGGAAAGAUGAAAAGCACUUUGAAAAGAGAGUCAAACAGUAUGUGAAAUUGUUGAAAGGGAAACGCUUGAAGUCAGUCGUAUCCUUCAGAAAUCAACCUGACCUUUGGCUGGGUGCAUUUUUUGUUGGAUGGGUCAGCAUCAAUUUUGAUCAUUGGAUAAAGGACUUGGGAAUGUGGCAUCUUUGGAUGUGUUAUAGCCUCUGUUUGUAUACAAUGAUUGGGAUUGAGGAACUCAGUGUGACUUUGGUUUGGAGGUAUUGCACCUCACACACGCACUUAGGAUGCUGGCAUAAUGGCUUUAAUCGACCCGUCUUGAAACACGGACCAAGGAGUCUAACAUGCAUGCGAGUGUUUGGGUGGAAAACUCAAGCGCGCAAUGAAAGUGAAAGUUGAGAACCCCUUUGGGGUGCAUCGACGCCCGGACUUGAUCUUUUGUGACGGACCUGCGGUAGAGCAUGUAUGUUGGGACCCGAAAGAUGGUGAACUAUGCCUGAAUAGGGUGAAGUCAGAGGAAACUCUGAUGGAAGCUCGUAGCGAUUCUGACGUGCAAAUCGAUCGUCAAAUUUGGGUAUAGGGGCGAAAGACUAAUCGAACCAUCUAGUAGCU
rnacentral:rRNA from 1 species